rnacentral:piRNA from 5 species
ACUAAAGAUUUCCGUGGAGAGGAAC